CUCUGACACAGACUCUCUACUUAGUGGCUUGGAGAGAGGACUGAGGCUCACAGCUUCUCAAUGAGGGGACGCAGCCAAAAGCAGACAGAGCAGUCAUUCCUCCGGAGCCUUCCGCUGCACGCAUGACAAGGAGUGUGAAGGUGGGGGAUGUAAAAAAAAAAAAAAGCUCCCUGUCACCACAAAAUAGGAGUUCUACUGACGGAGACCAAGGCAACGGCUGAGGCAAAGAAGAGAAAAAGAGAUCUCCACAUAUGACGCUGAUACAGCAGUGACAUGAUGAGCCUCUUAGUCCUCAAACCAGUGGGUGACAGAGACUUGAGGGUGUGCUGGGUUUGGUGACUCUUUGUGUUGUCAAGGAAUUCAAAGGAAGUGAGGAGCGCUGGUCCAGAGGAGGGACUAUCCAGAAAAGAAAAGAACAUUUUAGAUCCCCUUCUGUGCUGGCUUUGGCUAAUCUGGAAUUUCAGGCAGGAAUCCCAGGUUUCUCCAGUAUGGAUGCAUUUAAAAAGGAGGAGUACGUCUGCUGAGGAGGAAGUCAUUCUAACCCAUCCUUGGUCUUCCUGAAGUCAUUGCUCAGACCCGGCCUCAGAAUGUCCUGGUUGUUGGCCAUAUGGGUCAGCCUCAGCUUCCUGCUGCUGUGCCAAGCCUCGCUCUACCAGACCAUCCAGCAGCACCAUGUCACCCGUCCCGGUCGCACUGACAUUCUCACCCUGGAGGGGGGUACGUGUGAGGUGAUUGCGGCCCACAGAUGCUGUAACAAGAAUCGUAUUGAAGAGCGCUCUCAGACCGUCAAGUGCUCCUGUUUACCAGGCAAAGUGGCCGGAACAACACGCAACAAACCUUCUUGUGUGGACGCAUCCAUCGUAAUUGGGAAAUGGUGGUGUGAGAUGGAGCCAUGUCUGGAGGGGGAAGAGUGCAAGACUCUGCCUGACAAUUCUGGAUGGAUGUGCUCCUCUGGAAAUAAAGUCAAGACCACGAGGAACACCCAGCCAUACUCCCCUUUUUAGCUUCCGGAAGCAAAAUGCAGAGGAAACGUCAACCGAAAUUGAGCUGCAUUCUUGCUUCUGUAAAGAUUAAUCCCAGGACCUAACAGCGAGCUCUCAUCACAGGACCAGCCUCACGCGGGCCUCUUCCCCUCAUCUACCCUUUCCCUUCCCAAUGAACGGUGUAAAACUAUUACAUCCACGGCUGCUGACUGGAUUACCUGGGACCACGGAAAGGAUAUCCACCUAGAUAAAACAGCUUUGCUCGUGUGGUGCCAAGGAUUUAAAACCACACUAAUCCCCUGUUUGAUCAAGGAUGUUGGAUGUUGGUGAUCUCUUCCACACAACCGUGGCCAGUUUCCGUCCAACUCUCUCCCAGUCUGCCCUCACUCGGUGUGUCCCUCAAAAACAGAAGCAGCACAGUAGGGGGCAUUUUGAGGUCAUUUGAACAUUUUGUGAAGAUCUUCACCCUGCCAGUCCAAAAGGUAAAGCCACUGAAGAGGACCUGAACAUGGAACGAAGAGCAUAAAAGCGGGGAAUUGGCCUGAUAUCCUUUUAUUUCUGUGUGGCUUGCUGCCUUUGUGUUACAAGAUUACAAGAUGGCUUUGCAAGGACUACGUGGGAGUGAGAAAAAUUGAGCCCUUUUUAAGGAGAUAAUCAAGAUUUUUUUUUUUUUUUGUGAGGCUUGAAGGUCAUCCCUUAUGGCCUCACCUUUGUGGUCAAUAAUGAACAUUUAAUUUGACUUCUUGACCUCAAAGGCAUGUACAUUCAGCAGUGCUAUGUUUCUUUCCAUGUAAGACCACCUGUGUGUAUAUAAUUAUAUAAAUAAAAGACAUAUACAACGGCAGAACCAAAAAGCUGCAAAGUAUAUUUAAGACUCUCCUAGGAGCUUAACCCCCACAGUGGAAUAUUGUUUUUUUUCCUCCUCUGAGUAAAAGUGCGAUUCAUACUUGUGCAGAGCCCAGCUUUGUUGUGUAAAGGACUGCUUUACUUGAUAACUGUAACAAUAAGUAUCUGUCACCUUGGUCAUUCUGCAGUGUUGCUGGUAGAGCCAGAACAUGCUUGUCAAGAUGAGGAAAAACACUGUAUAGGACUGCCUCAUAAACCAACAAUGCCUGAGGUUUCCACUCAGAUUGUCCACUGUUGCUAAACGAACGCAGGAAAACAUAGGGCGUACUCACACUAGGCCAUUCGUACUGUGCUGGACUUGGGCGAGAUUCCCACUCCCUCUUCUGGCCCCCACUUGCCUGUGCUCUCACUAAACAUUCGUGCUUCGGGCCGUUUGCUUCUCCCAUCGCUUCUAUACUGCUGUACGACCUGCUCUGUUUCCUGACAUUGUGGCUUAUUCCAAGUCUUCAGUUGUUCUGAUUAUUUCUAUUGUGAAAGGUGGCGGCUGUUAUUUAUUACUUGCCAGAGUCGUUAUUCCAGACACAAUUGAAUUCACUGGUGAGUGCCAUGGGUUGGAUUAUUUUGAGUGUUUGUAUUUUAUUUGUAUUAUGAAUUGUGACGGUUAUCAUUAAGAACUUGCAACGAACGGUCGCGAUCGGCUACAUUGCAUGCGUGCAUGCAGUUGCGCCGUGCCUGCACCCACCUAUUUCAAGUGUGCCAAAGGCGGGGAAGUGUGCCAAACUUGAGCAAGGAUCAUAGCACUCACACAGUGAGAUUGGUUUACUGUGAGUACGCCCUUAUUCUCUGUCUCUGCUGCAGAAAGUGGUCUUGAGAAACCAUUUGACUGUUUGUUGAACAGAUGUACUUUUCAUAAACCAAACAGUGAAUAUUUAGGAUACAUAUUGGAAAACACUAAAUAUUGGCAAAGUGAACAAAAAUACUGUUAUCCCCCAAGUAGAUAUAAGUACAUUACAGCAGAGCCUUAUGAGAAAUAAAAGUGGUUUUCUAUACUGAUUUGCUGCCUGCA